GUGGAAGGGAAAAAAUAUAGUCUUCAAGCCCCUUUCUCAUCCUCCAGAGACCCUGCGGUUCCAGGAGUCUAUCUCAGUGGUGGGAAAACCUCAACCUGCACUGCACAGGCCCAACUCAGUGAGCAUGUGCAGUGUCUGCGCGUGCGCACCCCUUGCUGCGCAUGCGCUUUGGUGUGCAUCGGCCUUCCUGAGCGUUCUGUGAGGAGCGUUGGGCCUGAGGCGGGUGUGUUUAUUCAGUCCCGGUUCUUUGUCACUUCUUGAGACUCACCAGGGAGAAAUAUGAGUGGGCAAGUGGCAUCAACAUUGGGACCUACAAAGCAAGAUUGCUCCCAGGUGGAUGAACCUGUGGUUGAGCAGCAGCACAGUGUUGAGCAAUCUCAACAAGAAGAACCACCAGCUGAGAUUCAGGAUAUCACACCUAGAAAGGAGGAAGUACAUGGAGAGGAUCCAGUGAAUCGUGAUGAAGAAGAGGAGAAGGAUCCCUUUGAAGAUUCUGGCCUGGAAGCUGAUCUCCAGCGAUUGGCUCUGGCAAAGACUGGGGGUGAAGGUGGAGAUGGUCCCGAUGUCAGGGAGGAGUUUGCGUCAAAUAUAGAGCCUGUUGAAAUGCCAGAAGCAGGUAUGUCAUCCAUUCAGAAAGUAAUUUAUGUGGUUUCUGUUUUUCAGAAUAUUAUAUCUUUACUAAUAUAGAGGGAACAUUACUAUUAUUUUAAUAAUAGAGUUCACAUAUUCUUUGAAAGGUAGUUCAGACCCCAGAUACCUGAGUGCCUGACUUAUAGACUUUCAAAUAAAGAAACAGACAGGAUCA
rnacentral:lncRNA from 1 species